rnacentral:rRNA from 1 species
GACGAACGCUGGCGGCGUGCUUAACACAUGCAAGUCGAACGGAAAGGCCCUGCUUUUGUGGGGUGCUCGAGUGGCGAACGGGUGAGUAACACGUGAGUAACCUGCCCUUGACUUUGGGAUAACUUCAGGAAACUGGGGCUAAUACCGGAUAGGAGCUCCUGCUGCAUGGUGGGGGUUGGAAAGUUUCGGCGGUUGGGGAUGGACUCGCGGCUUAUCGGCUUGUUGGUGGGGUAGUGGCUUACAAAGGGUUUGACGGGUAGCCGGCCUGAGAGGGUGACCGGCCACAUUGGGACUGAGGUACGGCCCAGACUCCUACGGGAGGCAGCAGUGGGGAAUAUUGCACAAUGGGCGGAAGCCUGAUGCAGCGACGCCGCGUGCGGGAUGACGUCCUUCGGGUUGUAAACCGCUUUCGCCUGUGACGAAGCGUGAGUGACGGUAAUGGGUAAAGAAGCACCGGCUAACUACGUG